rnacentral:rRNA from 1 species
GACGAACGCUGGCGGCGUGGAUUAGGCAUGCAAGUCGGACGGUAGAGCUUUAUCGUAAGAUAGAGUUUGAGAGUGGCGAACGGGUGAGUAACACGUAGGAAUCUACCCUUAAGACGGGGACAACCCAGGGAAACUUGGGCUAAUACCGGAUGAGAGUGCGAGAGAUUGCAUUUAAAAGGAUGGCGAAAGUUGUCGCUUAGGGAUGAGCCUGCGGUCUAUUAGUUAGUUGGUGAGGUAAGAGCUCACCAAGGCGAUGAUAGAUAGGCGGCCUUAACGGGUGGUCGCCCACACUGGGAUUGAGAUACGGCCCAGACUCCUACGGGAGGCAGCAGUCGAGAAUAGUCUACAAUGGCCGGAAGGCUGAUAGUGCGACGCCGCGUGAACGAGGGAGCCCUUCGGGGUGUAAAGUUCUUUUCUAUACGAGCAGUGCUAUAUAUAUGAUAGUAAUAUAGAGGAUAUAGUAUAGGAAUAAGCAACGGCUAAACUCCGUGCCAGCACG